GAGACAUUCGAAAAUUACUAUAGAAAACAAAGAAAGAAACAAGCAAGACUGGUAUUGCAGCCUCAGUCAAGUAUGCAUGCAACAGUUGAUGGCUAUAGAAGAUAUUUCACUCAAAUUGUAGGGUUCUUUGUGGUAGAAGAUCACAUUUUACAUGUGGCCCAAGGAUUAGUCAUCGUAUUGCAUUGAUACUAAUCUUGUUCUGGAGCUGAAGAAUCUUAUUUAAUAUUUGCAGAUACUUUGCAGGGUUACGGUUUUCCAGGGAACCGACUUUUUGACCUUUUAUUUAAAAUAAGAGAGCAAUACAAUGAAACACUGCUUAAGAAAUGGGCUGGAGUUUUCAGGGAUAUUUUUGAAGAAGAUAAUUAUAGCCCAAUCCCUGUUGUCAAUGAAGAAGAAUAUAAAAUUGUCAUCAGUAAAUUUCCCUUUCAAGAUCCAGACCUUGAAAAGCAAUCUUUCCCAAAGAAAUUCCCUAUGUCUCAGUCAGUGCCUCAUAUUUACAUUCAAGUUAAAGAAUUUAUUUAUGCCAGCCUUAAAUUUUCAGAGUCACUUCACCAGAGCUCAACAGAAAUAGAUGAUAUGCUUAGGAAAUGAAGAAAUCUGCUGCUGACGAGAACUUUGAAUAGCUGUUUACUGAACCUUAUUAGGAAACCUCAUAUAGGUUUGACAGAGCUGGUGCAAAUCAUCAUAAACACAACACACCUGGAACAAGCUUGUAAAUACCUUGAGGAUUUUAUAACUAACAUCACAAAUAUUUCUCAAGAACACAAGGCUUUAUGGGCUUUCUACUUUUAAGGAUGCUCGACAUGCAGCUGAAGAAGAAAUAUAUACCAAACUGAAUCAAAAAAUUGAUGAAUUUGUUCAGCUUGCUGAUUAUGACUGGACAAUGCCUGAACCCAAUGGAAGAGCUAGUGGUUAUUUAAUGGACCUUAUUAAUUUUUUGAGAAGCAUCUUUCAAGUGUUUACUCAUUUGCCUGGGAAAGUUGCCCAGACAGCCUGCAUGUCAGCCUGCCAGCAUCUGUCAACAUCCUUAAUGCAGAUGCUACUGGACAGCAAGUUAAAACAAAUAAGCAUGGGAGCUGUUCAGCAGUUUAACUUAGAUGUCAUACAGUUUGAGUUGUUUGCCAACUCUGAACCUGAGCCAGGAUUCCAGGGAGAUACCCUGCAGCUAGCAUUCAUUGACCUCAGAAAACUCCUUGACCUGUUUAUGGUGUGGGAUUGGUCUACUUACCUCGCUGAUUAUGGGCAGCCAGCUUCCAAGUACCUUCGGGUGAAUCCAAAUACGGCCCUUACUCUUCUGGAGAAGAUGAAGGAUACUAGCAAAAAGAACAAUAUAUUUGCUCAGUUCAGGAAGAAUGAUCGAGACAAGCAGAAGUUGACAGAAACAGUGGUGAAGCAGCUGAGAAGUUUGGUGAAUGGUAUGUCCCAGCACACAUAGACGUCACAUCACUU